rnacentral:lncRNA from 1 species
AACAAGUGAAACUGCGAGCUACUGCUCACUGAUGAUACCCCCGUCGCAAGUGGAUAAUAUUAAUAGUGUAAAAAUAUGCAAGUGUUCGGUAAACAGGAAGUUGUCAAGUGAUGAAUCUGAAAACGCAUCACACGGUAUAGCUGACUUAUAUAAAUCCUGAAACCAAAUUUCAGAAAUCCUUGUAUUGUAGUUCCUGAGAAAAAUGUGACGAAAAUUUUCAACUUGGCUAUCAGUGUAAAAUCAUACAAGUGUUCGGUAAACAGGAAGUUGUCGAGUGAUGAAUCUGAAAACGCAUCACACGGUAUAGCUGACUUAUAUAAAUCCUGAAACCAAAUUUCAGAAAUCCUUGUAUUGUAGUUGCUGAGAAAAAUGUGACGAAAAUUUUCAACUUGGCUAUCAUGUGUAAAAUCAUACAAGUGUUCGGUAAACAGGAAGUUGUCAAGUGAUGAAUCUGAAAACGCAUCACACGGUAUGGCUAACAUAUAUAAAUGUUGAUACCAAAUUAAAGAAAGGGUGGAUGUGUAGUUCCUGAGAAAAAUGUGACGAAAGUUUUCAUGGGACGGACUGACUGACGGACUGAUGGACGGACUGACGGACGGACUGACGGACUGACAGACAGAGGUAAAACAGUAUACCCCCCCUUUUUUAAAGCGGGGGUAUAACGCCGCAAGUGGAUAAUAUUAAUAGUGUAAAAAUAUGCAAGUGUUCGGUAAACAGGAAGUUGUCAAGUGAUGAAUCUGAAACGCAUCACACGGUAUAGCUGACUUAUAUAAAUCCUGAAACCAAUUUCAGAAAUCCUUGUAUUGUAGUUCCUGAGAAAAAUGUGAACGAAAAUUUUCAACUUGGCUAUCAGUGUAAAAUCAUACAAGUGUUCGGUAAACAGGAAGUUGUCGAGUGAUGAAUCUGAAAACGCAUCACACGGUAUAGCUGACUUAUAUAAAUCCUGAAACCAAAUUUCAGAAAUCCUUGUAUUGUAGUUGCUGAGAAAAAUGUGACGAAAAUUUUCAACUUGGCUAUCAUGUGUAAAAUCAUACAAGUGUUCGGUAAACAGGAAGUUGUCAAGUGU